UCGUUCGCAUGAAGAACAAAGGUGGGGGAACCAACUGUAUUAAUCCUGUGAUUCCCCACCGUAACCUUGCGCGUUAGGUGUGCCUGUACUACGAGUACCGGGUGCGAAGUGAAAACGUGAAACGUGCCGCUGGGAAGUACGGUCGCAAGGCUGAAACUAAAGGAAUGGCGGGGGAGCACCACAACGGGUGGAGCUGCGGUUUAAUUGGACUCAACGCCGGGCAGCUCACCGGAUAGGACAGCGGAAUGAUAGCCGGGCUGAAGACCUUGCUUGACCAGCUGAGAGGAGGUGCAUGGCCGUCGUCAGUUCGUACUGUGAAGCAUCCUGUUUAGUCAGGCAACGAGCGAGACCCACGCCAACAGUUGCUAGCAUGUUCUCCGGAAUGAUGAAGGACACUGUUGGGACCGCCUCUGCUAAAGAGGAGGAAGGAAUGGGCAACGGUAGGUCAGCAUGCCCCGAAUUAUCCGGGCUACACGCGGGCUACAAUGGUCAGGACAAUGGGAAACGGCACUGAAAAGUGUAGUCAAUCUCCUAAACCUGUCCCAAGUUCGGAUUGUGGGCUGCAACUCGCCCACAUGAAGCUGGAAUCCGUAGUAAUCGCGUUUCAAAAUAGCGCGGUGAAUAAGUCCCUGCUCCUGCACACACCGUAAUCUAGAGCACCGCGAGGGGCCGGGCUCGAAUCACGGCCGUA
rnacentral:rRNA from 1 species